rnacentral:rRNA from 1 species
GAUGAACGCUGGCGGUCUGCUUAACACAUGCAAGUCGAACGGACCCUUCGGGGUUAGUGGCGGACGGGUGAGUAACGCGUGAGAAUCUGGCUGUGGGUCGGGGACAACCACUGGAAACGGUGGCUAAUACCGGAUGAGCCGAAAGGUAAAAGAUUUAUUGCCCACAGAUGAGCUCGCGUCUGAUUAGCUAGUUGGUAAGGUAAAAGCGUACCAAGGCGACGAUCAGUAGCUGGUCUGAGAGGAUGAGCAGCCACACUGGGACUGAGACACGGCCCAGACUCCUACGGGAGGCAGCAGUGGGGAAUCUUGGACAAUGGGCGCAAGCCUGAUCCAGCCAUGCCGCGUGAGUGAUGAAGGCCUUAGGGUCGUAAAGCUCUUUCGCCAGAGAUGAUAAU